CAGUCGCCGCGGUAAUACGGAGGGUGCAAGCGUUAAUCGGAAUUACUGGGCGUAAAGCGUGCGUAGGCGGCUUCUUAAGUCGGAUGUGAAAUCCCUGAGCUUAACUUAGGAAUUGCAUUCGAUACUGGGAAGCUAGAGUAUGGGAGAGGAUGGUAGAAUUCCAGGUGUAGCGGUGAAAUGCGUAGAGAUCUGGAGGAAUACCGAUGGCGAAGGCAGCCAUCUGGCCUAAUACUGACGCUGAGGUACGAAAGCAUGGGGAGCAAACAGGAUUAGAUACCCCGGUAGUCCCUGUCUCUUAUAC
rnacentral:rRNA from 1 species